GCAACCUGCGGCUGUCGCGCGAGGACCCGGUGGUCUUCCGCUCGCUGCUGGGCAUCUCGUGGAUGUGGGCCUUCGGCGCGGUCUUCCUGUCGCAGUUCCCGGCCUUCGCCAAGGACGUGCUG
rnacentral:ncRNA from 1 species